rnacentral:rRNA from 1 species
AGAGUUUGAUCCUGGGCUCAGGACGAACGCUGGCGGCGUGCCUAAUACAUGCAAGUCGAACGAACUCUGGUAUUGAUUGGUGCUUGCAUCAUGAUUUACAUUUGAGUGAGUGGCGAACUGGUGAGUAACACGUGGGAAACCUGCCCAGAAGCGGGGGAUAACACCUGGAAACAGAUGCUAAUACCGCAUAACAACUUGGACCGCAUGGUCCGAGUUUGAAAGAUGGCUUCGGCUAUCACUUUUGGAUGGUCCCGCGGCGUAUUAGCUAGAUGGUGGGGUAACGGCUCACCAUGGCAAUGAUACGUAGCCGACCUGAGAGGGUAAUCGGCCACAUUGGGACUGAGACACGGCCCAAACUCCUACGGGAGGCAGCAGUAGGGAAUCUUCCACAAUGGACGAAAGUCUGAUGGAGCAACGCCGCGUGAGUGGAGAAGGGUUUCGGCUCGUAAAACUCUGUUGUUAAAGAAGAACAUAUCUGAGAGUAACUGUUCAGGUAUUGACGGUAUUUAACCAGAAAGCCACGGCUAACUACGUGCCAGCAGCCGCGGUAAUACGUAGGUGGCAAGCGUUGUCCGGAUUUAUUGGGCGUAAAGCGAGCGCAGGCGGUUUUUUAAGUCUGAUGUGAAAGCCUUCGGCUCAACCGAAGAAGUGCAUCGGAAACUGGGAAACUUGAGUGCAGAAGAGGACAGUGGAACUCCAUGUGUAGCGGUGAAAUGCGUAGAUAUAUGGAAGAACACCAGUGGCGAAGGCGGCUGUCUGGUCUGUAACUGACGCUGAGGCUCGAAAGUAUGGGUAGCAAACAGGAUUAGAUACCCUGGUAGUCCAUACCGUAAACGAUGAAUGCUAAGUGUUGGAGGGUUUCCGCCCUUCAGUGCUGCAGCUAACGCAUUAAGCAUUCCGCCUGGGGAGUACGGCCGCAAGGCUGAAACUCAAAGGAAUUGACGGGGGCCCGCACAAGCGGUGGAGCAUGUGGUUUAAUUCGAAGCUACGCGAAGAACCUUACCAGGUCUUGACAUACUAUGCAAAUCUAAGAGAUUAGACGUUCCCUUCGGGGACAUGGAUACAGGUGGUGCAUGGUUGUCGUCAGCUCGUGUCGUGAGAUGUUGGGUUAAGUCCCGCAACGAGCGCAACCCUUAUUAUCAGUUGCCAGCAUUAAGUUGGGCACUCUGGUGAGACUGCCGGUGACGAACCGGAGGAAGGUGGGGAUGACGUCAAAUCAUCAUGCCCCUUAUGACCUGGGCUACACACGUGCUACAAUGGAUGGUACAACGAGUUGCGAACUCGCGAGAGUAAGCUAAUCUCUUAAAGCCAUUCUCAGUUCGGAUUGUAGGCUGCAACUCGCCUACAUGAAGUCGGAAUCGCUAGUAAUCGCGGAUCAGCAUGCCGCGGUGAAUACGUUCCCGGGCCUUGUACACACCGCCCGUCACACCAUGAGAGUUUGUAACACCCAAAGUCGGUGGGGUAACCUUUUAGGAACCAGCCGCCUAAGGUGGGACAGAUGAUUAGGGUGAAGUCGUAACAAGGUAGCCGUAG